GUGGCUAUGGUGUAACGGCAGCACAACAGGCUGUGGCCCUGUUAGAGAGGGUUCGAGUCCCUCUAGUCACCCCA
rnacentral:tRNA from 1 species